GAAGAAGGAGGAGGAAGAGAGGCACUCUCUCUCUCUCUCUCUCUCUCUGAUUCUUGAAGAAGGGGGACCAAGGAGCUGAGGUGGCAACCGAAAAUGGUUAUAGUGGAGGGCUGCACUCAAGAAGUCGCUCUAAGUUGAAGGAUGGGAGAGGUAAGAAGAAGAGGAAAAGUUAUAAGAGAGGGACGAGCACCAGAGAAGGGGGGUCAGAGCAGGAGAGGGAGAGGAGUUCUGAGAGAAGAAAUAGCUAGUUGGGAGAAGUCGCUCUCGUUGGGUAGUAAAGAGAAGGUUUUUUUUAAAGAAAUGGCAAGGAAGAAGGGUUUCAGUGGAUGAAAGGUAGAGAAAGGUUCUCAGUCUCAGAAGUUGCAGGGAGAGUGAGAACUUUCAUAGGGAGAGAAUCGCAAGGAUGAAGAAGACUCCCAAACGCUGGAGAUGAGUGAAGAUGCAGAGCGAUUUUGCUGGUUCAGAUUUUCUCUCCUGGAAUUUCUUGAUCUGCCUCCAACCUCUGGAAUUCCUUCAUGUGCUACUCUCCAAAAGAAGAGCUUAAAUUUAGGAUGGAUUUUGAGUUUCCAAAAAUACAGCUACCAGUGUGAGCAUGAAGAUAAGUACACCUGUUUGAGAAUCCACUGGAGUUAGUAUUGAUAUUAGAUCUGAAAAACUUGACAACUAUUUUAGUUGAGAGAUAACCUCUUUUUUGAGAGGUAGCACCACAUCUUUUCAUGACAUUGGAAAUGGGGAUUUGAAUUAUCUUAUUAAAUAAGGAAAGAGAGUAAAUAAUUUAAAAGACUAACAUUCCAUUCAGUCCUCACCAUAAAAUCAUUAACUUUCAUUAGGUAUGGGGGAGGGUUGUUUGAAAAAGUUAGAGCAAGAGAGUAAUUGGGAAUGGAUUUGAUCUAGGGAUUAAUCCAAAAUUUAGUAUCAUUUCCAUUACCAAUUUUCAAGAAAAACAUUUUUUGAAGAGUAUGUAGGAUACUUACCAUGCUGUUUCAACAAGGCGAUUCUCUCCUAUAUAGAGUUUUUUGAUCAAAUACUGACCUAUUGUGAAAAUACUUAGCUUUCAGGAUUUGUGCCCAUAGUGAUUGAUCAUUAUUGAGGGGAUGCCAACCAAGUUUGAGGAGUAGUGCUUUGAUUUGAGUUUCUAAAUCUCAAAUCUCAAAUCCUCCUUAUGAUUUGGAUAAGCAUAUUCUAUGCCAGCCAAUGAGAGAGUUUUUUGGUUUUGUCCUAGUGUCAACUCCAGAAAUAUAGGUAUGUGGAGUCUAAAUUCCUGUAAACAACUUUAAGGAUGGAAAAGCAUGACAUUAGAUAUGAUGAAAUAGAGGAAAGGGAAAAUUGGACUAACACCAUUCUUCAAGCAAAUGAAAUAAGGUUAGCCUUCCAAAGACUUAAUUUCUUUUCCACUGUUUGAUCACAUGGUUGAAGGAGAGUGAUUUGGCUCUAUGUUGGAAGAGCCCAAUCCCAAGGUAAGAAGAGUCAUGGUUCAUUUUCUUAAUGCCUAGAAUUAUGCUCAAUGCAAUCUUGAUAUCAGUGGUCACAUUAGAACUAAAAGCCAGACCAUUUUAUUAAGGUUGAUGGUGCUCAUAAGCAGAUCCUUUUAGUUCGAUAGAAAAAGAAGAUGAGUUAAUUAGAUAACUAAUUAACACCCCAUCUAUAACCAAAGCCCAGAAAGUCAAAGAUAGCUCUAAGGUAGCCCCAUUCCACUUUGUUAAAGGCUUUGGCCAUAUCAAGUUCAAUAACCAUAAAACCGUUUGCUAACCACAAAUUCCAGUUUUACCUUUUUUUUUUUUUUUUCUUUUCAGAAGAAAUGAAAAAUUUCUUGGGCUAUGACAAAUUGUCAGUGAUUUGCCUUCCGGAGGGACAUAGGCAUUAUGAAAACGUGAAUGAUAUGAUGAAGUUGUUUCUUAAGCAUGCUAGCUAAUAUUUUGGCUGUGUAUUUAUAGGUUGCAUUGCACACACUAAAAGGUCUAAAUUCCUUGACAAGAAUACAAGAAUACAUUCUCCUUUUUUGGAAGUAAACAGAUUAAAGUGUGAUUGACCCCGUAGGAGAGAUGGAUAUCUUUGAAAAAGGAAGUGACAAAAUUACAAUUUUUCCACAAGAAGAUCCCAAUAUUUUUUAAAUAAGAUGGUUUGGAAACCAUCAAGAACAGGUGCUUUGAAGGCAACAAUCGAGAAAACAGUUUAUGAACAAAGGAUGGGAUUUGAGAAAUGGGUUUGGUAUCAAGGUUGUGGAUAGGAAGGGGGGCGGAAAGAGGCAUUCAACAAAGGAUAGGCCAGGGGGUUAGAUAUGGUGAAAAGGUUGGAUAGGAACAGGGAAAAUUCUUUUGCCAUGAGGCAAGGAUCAGAUAGUCUCUCUGGCGGGGGGAAAAAAUAAAUUCAUGCUUCUCCUUCGAGUGUUGACUUUAGUGAUAGGGUGAUAAUAUUUUGUAUUCUAAUACUCCUCAAAGAUGUGAGAAUGUCUAGAUUUUUUGUACCAAAAUUUUUCUUCAGCAUUCAAUAUCCAUUCCUCAGAAGAUAAUUUGGAAA